UCAAGCCUGCAAGCGGGGAAGACAAGGAGGAGGGUGUGAGCUGCCGGAGAACAAAUGGAGUGUAAAGCAGGAGCUAUUUGUCACCACCAGCUAUUCCCCAGGGGGAGGUUGCAUUAUUUCCCCUGGACAGAGGCAUAUGUCAGCAACAAGGGGGAUGAGUUAAAAAAGCCACUCUGACUACAGUAUAACUGCAGCCUUUGCAGACACCUUGGGAUACGGCGGAUCUGCUCCAAGUUCGACAAUCAGAUCAGGUGGCGCCUGGUUCUCGUUGGCCUCCUCACACACCUGUGGAUGGUUACCCUAAUUACCAGAGGACUCUUAAGCUGCUGACUGCCACUACAGUACCUCAACGCCAGAGUGUUUGCCAGUUUUGGUAAGUCAACCUGCAAACUGGAUGUUUUGGACCUUCUCCCCCCUGGAAGGAUUCUCUGAGCACCAAACUGAGCUGAGGAUUCGAGCUUGUGGUUUGGAUCUACUUUUCUCCCAAGGAUUAUAUGGACGUCUCACUGAGCAGGGGAUUCAUCUUCACAAGUACCGUUUAAGUACCGCAGGAAAAUUAAUUGGCAGUCAGCUCCUCCGUUCCACAAGGAAACACCGCAAUCUGGGUAAACCCUGUCCGCCCUCCAACGAGCAAGUCAUUCACUGGAACAACCCCCACCGGCUAAAUUCAA